CAAGCGGUGGAGCAUGUGGUUUAAUUCGAUGCAACGCGAAAAACCUUACCUGGUCUUGACAUCCACGGAAGUUUUCAGAGAUGAGAAUGUGCCUUCGGGAACCGUGAGACAGGUGCUGCAUGGCUGUCGUCAGCUCGUGUUGUGAAAUGUUGGGUUAAGUCCCGCAACGAGCGCAACCCUUAUCCUUUGUUGCCAGCGGUCCGGCCGGGAACUCAAAGGAGACUGCCAGUGAUAAACUGGAGGAAGGUGGGGAUGACGUCAAGUCAUCAUGGCCCUUACGACCAGGGCUACACACGUGCUACAAUGGCGCAUACAAAGAGAAGCGACCUCGCGAGAGCAAGCGGACCUCAUAAAGUGCGUCGUAGUCCGGAUUGGAGUCUGCAACUCGACUCCAUGAAGUCGGAAUCGCUAGUAAUCGUGGAUCAGAAUGCCACGGUGAAUACGUUCCCGGGCCUUGUACACACC
rnacentral:rRNA from 1 species